CUGAGUCCUAUGUGUGGAGGGACAGUAACUGUGUGUGUAUAUGUGGCACUAUGUUAAAGACAGAGACAUGAAAAUAGUAGCCCCCCAUUUUAUUUUAUGCUCAGAGACACUUUCGUUUAGUAGGCCACUGUAAUGUCAGUUUUACUGUUGUAUAAGUUCCACCAGCAGAGGGCGCUCAGUCCUGUACGCAUCGGUAGCUGACGCUACACUAGAAGAAGUAGUGUCAGUGGUGAAGAGGCAGCGUACGGCCCGCGCGCCGAAAGAACUGAUUAAUCAGACAUUUUUCUGUCUUUACAGACGGAGCCACCAGAUCCUGACGUCGUGAGUACCUGCACUGCAACCACCGUUUCUAGCGAAGCGAGGAAAAGCCCAGAGUCGUACAUUCGCCUACUGGCCAGUGUCUUAUACAGGUCCACGACGCCAGGUUCUCGGUGACGCUGGGAAAAAGAACACAGCGCAACAUUGAAGGUGAAUAUAAAGCAGCCAGAAACACUUUGCGUUGAAUAAUCGAUUUUAGUUUGACACUGCUCAAAGAAGGGUCCUGUGUGGACCGAAAAGGAAAAGGACAGACGUGUCCUAUGUAAUAUGCUCGCCCGUGUAAGACGAAACAACCUGCCCUGUGGGGGCCCGUUUCGCAACAUAAGUAAGGGUUGGUAGCCAGUAUAUCUCACGCUCGCCUGCGUAAGACGGAUUAACACGCCCUGGGAGGCUUAAUCCGCAGCAUAAAAACAAAAGGUUGGUAGCCACGCUCGCCUGUGUAAGACGGAUUAACAUGCCCUGAGAGGCUCAAUCUGCAACAAAAAUAAAGGUUGGUAGCCAGAGAAGCGAGAGUGUCAAAUAAAAAUAGGAUUUUCUCUAAGCGCGCUAACUGUUUGCUGAAUGUUUGUUGAGGAGUAAGUGCUUCAUUGAAUAGGAGCUCUAGGCUCCUGCACUACUCCUAUUGUUUUCCUGUGAGUACUGGAUGGUGAGAAAGAGAAAAGGUUGCGCGUCAACGCGUAAAAUUAAGUCCGCCCUGAAUUUAGUUCAGGGUAGAAGGCUGACUUAAUAACCUCCUCUGACUCUAGUACCAGAGCGUCUCACAGUGUGUGUUGGCAGUAUAAAUAAAAUAUAAAAUAUAAGUAUUGCAUCGAUUAAACAAACUUAGAAAUGGGCAACAAAUCCAAAAGUAAACUAAAUGUCCCACAUGGGAGAGAAAAAAAAAAGUGUAGCCCCUCCACAUUGACUAAAUUAAAAGAAACCCUCCAAGCAGAUAUAAGUGAAAAAAGAGAGAGAUGCAUAAGGUAUAUUAUGGCUGUGUCAUUGUUCAGCCAAGGAAAGUGUGUCUCCAGCUUGGGUGGGGGUGAAACUGCAGAUCACCCCCACCUUCGAUGGAUACAUAAUAAAAUAUAUAUAUGAAAUAUUAUAAUAGACGAUUGUAUAUUUGUAGUAUAGUAGCAUAUUGUAAUAUACUAUUGUUAAAAGUAGUCUGAAUCAAGCUUAAGGUUUGCUCAAACUCAGUAUAAUGAUAUAUGAGAUGACGAAAAUACCAAAUCUAAUCAAGUGCAUAGAGACGCUUGACCUACUUGAAAACCUGUCAUCCUAGAUGAGACAUUGUUGAGAUAUAGAGCACACCUAUACUAACAACUAAACGCCCUUUAUAUAACAGCUAAGGCCACACAAUUGUGAAGCUGAAUUAAAUAUAUGGUCACUGCUAAGCUGAUGAGCAGGUUACACAUUUUUUAGAGCAGAGGCUGCAUAAGAACACAUCAGAGGGAGUGAAACAGAGCUAUUAAAGCUCAAACAUGAAGCUGUCUGUGAGCUCAGUUUUUUCCCCCAUGCUUCUGAUCAGGUGAAGGCAGAAAGCUACUAAACAAAAGAAAAGAAGCCAUACAAAAUGCGCCACAGCCACAAAACUAAGCAUUCACAUUUUUUCUGACUCUUUGUGAGCCUGAGUUAUGACCUUGGCUCCCUGUUUUUCUGCCUCCACCAAAGGUGGGGGUGACGCUCCCGUGGCAUGUGCUCUGUUCUUUUUACUAUCACAAAGAAAAAAAAGAAAGAAAAGAAAAGAGGGAGGCCCCUACUCUCUGAACACAAUACUCUUUUCAUAACUCAGCGUUAUGAAAUGUCAUGAAACAGUGUAACUCACUCACAGUAAAUCAGCAGUAUAGGAUAAUACAAACCUAUCUCAUAGACCUGGUGAUUUUCACAUUCUUUCAAUUGGGAGGUGUGAUGCAAACUGAAACUAAAUACUGAUUAAACAAGAAGUAUGAUGUGGCCUACAGCAGUAUCAUGAUUCACUCAUUUUGUUUACAGGUAUAAUGUAAUGUAAUCUCACAACUACUACAAGCACUUUUGCCUUUCUUAGCACACGCGAGUGAAGGGCAACUGUUAGAGACAUGCCUUGUUUGAGGAAAAGUUAAAAUUAACCUGCCUACAAACGCAAUGAAAAAACAGCUUACACUCAUGAACACGUGAAGAUUUUCCAGCAAGGUUAAAGCAGCAAAAAUUAAUAUACACCUGUUGUUAAAUGAUGAAGUUUAUCUAUUACUAACAAAUAAACCCUCUGGGUUGCAGGACAACAAUUUAACUUCUUCAAAAAGGAAAUACAGAGACUGGUAUGACCAACCAGUGAUUAAACAACAACUUUAGUGGUUAAAAGUCAAAUUGUGAGAUGUUUUCUGCUGAUUGAACGACACAUGUGAUUACUGACGGAGGGAAAAUUCCUUUUUGUGCUUUUAAACAUGAUUUUAAGAAUUUAAAUAUCUACCUGUGUUGUCCUGUCAACUUGGUGAGUUAUCAGUUGAUUACAUCGUGAGAGAAAAGAAAGGAAAAAAAAAAAAGGGGAAGGCUGACACAGGGCCUGCCCGGUGUUUCUCCCCUCUCUUUGUGUCACAGCCAGCACAACAUAAUUUUCCUGUUCAUACACUUCUGCUUGCUUUUGUUUUGUUUUGUUUUGUUUUUUCUCUUUAUGUUUAAUUACAGGCUGCUUUGCCGGCCCUGAAAGCCGAGGCUGACCUGGACUCCUGCUCUCCCCUCUACCACCUUCGACGUGACCCUGACCAAAUGCUGCAGCAGCUGGACUUACAAAAACAAUUUCCUGAAAAUGUCAACAGGGCUGCAGAAAAGCGAUCUUAUGCAGCGGAGACGGAGAGCGUUAAAACCAAGGCCCGUUUCACUACACGGGGGAAAAUUCUCAGACAGCUUCAGCUGACAGAGCUGUGACGAGACGCCUGCCAAGCCGAAUGACAAGUAAGGCCGAGCAAAAGAAUGCUGACCUUAACAAUUCUGCAUUAACAGUGAUGGACCAACACGGCAGCAAAAAGGGCGUGCCAGAGACAGGAGGAGCAACUGAGGUCGAAUGGACAAAACACAGAAGAAGAUGCAGUUUUCACCUGCGGUGAGCAUGGACACUGGAGAAAAGGACUGUCCCAAUUGGGGUCAGAACCAGGACAAACUGAACUUUGAACAGCAGCAAUGGUGGCAAGCGGACUGAAAAGGAGGAGGGCAGGACCCCAGGGCACGCUUCAGGCUGUGGUUUACCCAAGACACCAGAACAGGAAAGUGAUGAACACACACACAUCUAUAUACACCGAUUCAGAAUGAAGUGAAAUAUACACAUGAACACAUGUGCACUCGUUGAUAGAGGGAGAAAUGGCACACACACACGCUUAUGCAAUGAAGAAUGCUUUGCUCGCAAAUGCUUAUGCUCAUGCAAAAUGCUGCACACAAACAUCCCAAUACAUAAUUUUUAUGAGAAGCAAUUGACUGCUUAAAAUGUGUUUUAUGUCACCCAGAGGAUAUUUAUGUAGAUUUAAGUAACAAGGUCUAAAAUUGUCCGGUUAUGAAAACAAUGUCUGUGCGUGAGGUCUGUUUAUGGCUCAAGGUCUUGAUUGAAUUGUCUAUUGUGCUACACACUUCGUAAAUGAAGUAAUAUCAAAAGUCUCUGAAGCACUGGGCUUCAGUAUAAAACAUCACUUCUCAUAUCACCCGCAGAGUACCCAUUACAAGUGAACCGAUAGACAAAUCCAUAAGAGAAACAAAACUAGCAGAAUGGAUGACAAAACUGUUAGAAAACAAAGAAAUAGUUUUGAACAAUCAACUGCCAGAUGAUUCUCUUCCAGUCUCUUCCAGGUUGAAACCAGGAGAUUGGAUCCUGAUAAAAGUGCUCCAGAGGGAAAAGUGGAGCUCCCCGAGGUGGGAAGGACCCUACCAAGUCCUCCUGGCCACACCAACAGCCUGCAAAAUUGCUGAACGACCUUCCUGGAUUCAUCAGAGCCACUGUAAAAAAUCUACUCACUCACAGGACCAGGUGUGUUCGGUCAUCAUGAAGACCAUACUCGUUCUGGUGGCCAGUGUCACAUUUCUGUUGGGACUGCUGUCGCUGAUUUCAGAAGAAGAAGGACAAGAUUGACACAUGACACAAUACAUCCAGACGACAUGACACAAGAUCACAACCACCCAUGGAUGAACAAUGCCUGGUACCGUUAUGUGUAAAACUCCACAAGAGACAGAAACUAUUACAUCUGUUCGCACAUGUCUCUUAAUGCAAAACACCUGAUAAUGUGCAUUCCACCAACUUGUCUGACACACUGAACACGCUACGUCAGCUCAGACGAGUACAGCAGCAAGAUUACACACACAACACCGAGGACUGGCUCACAUGGCUGCUUAGCGGGUCAUGGAAGUCAUUACUCACAAAAGGACUAACAUUCGUUGGAAUGCUCCUUAUGUUACUUUGCUUAUUUUCCACAUGUGUACUGCCUUGUAUUCGGAGUAUGAUAAGCAAAACGUUUACUGUAAGAUUGCAAGCUUACAUUGCAUUAUCCCAAGUUGAACAAGCUCGAGAAAAGGUACAAGUUGAAGAAGAUGAUUUUUAAGCACUAAACUGUGUGAACCCAAUAAAGUUGAUCAUGUACGUUUUCACAAAAUGAUACUCUAGUUGAAAAUGCUUCUGCAAGUGACUAGUAGUUGAAGAACAUAAAUAUAUAUGAACAACAGCAGGGAAUGUUAAGGGAUUUUGUGAUUUUAUGAUGUUUUUCCUUUUUAAUACAUCUUCCUUUUUAAUGUUUCAUUUACUCAGUUCUCCUUAUAAUGUUCCAUUUACUCAUUUACUCAUAUGCUCCUGUUAAGAAAGGCUUGGAAAGCACAUAGUGUUCACAUAUCUUUAUGUUUUGUCUUUGCUUCUUCUCACACACAUACACAUGAGCCCUGCAGUAUUCGCUGACUCCUGUGAAAGUCUCUUGCAGACACCCUUGGAAACAGGACCCAACUGGCUUCUGUUUUCCUCGAGAUAGACAAUACACUCACACACACACACACACACACACUGUGUCCCAUACAUGCCCAGAUUGUUUGUUACAGCCUGACAAAACAGGGAAUGCUACGAAGUAUAAAUAAAGCUGACUGCAAAGCCUCGGAGUGAGUAUCACCCGAUCACUCACCCGAUCGCA
ensembl:lncRNA